rnacentral:rRNA from 1 species
UACGGAGGGUGCAAGCGUUAUCCGGAUUCACUGGGUUUAAAGGGUGCGUAGGCGGGCAGGUAAGUCAGUGGUGAAAUCUUUGGGCUUAACCCGAAAACUGCCAUUGAUACUAUCUGUCUUGAAUAUUGUGGAGGUGAGCGGAAUAUGUCAUGUAGCGGUGAAAUGCUUAGAUAUGACAUAGAACACCCAUUGUGAAGGCAGCUCACUACGCAUAUAUUGACGCUGAUGCACGAAAGCGUGGGGAUCAAACAGG